GAGGACAUGGCUGCGGACCGGCAGGACACCCCCCCCUUGCUGUGCAGGAGGAGGAGGAAGGUGUGAGUGGAGCCUGGCAGAAGACAAAGGGUGAAGUGAAAAAAGAUUCUGUGCCUUGAAAAAUCAAGGAGAAGGCCGUGUGACAUGGCAGACCCAGGAGGUCUUCUCAAAGACCUGAGGUGAGCAGCAGCGGAUGCAAGUUCCCCUGUUAAAUAGCUCCAUGCCCCAAGUCGUGUUGCAGAUGUGGCUGUAGUGCCAUGUUUGUGUCAUUAGGUGGCAGAGAAGAAAAGGCAAUGUCUUUGCUAGUGCUCUG
rnacentral:lncRNA from 1 species